GAUGAACGCUGGCGAGAUGCCUUAUACAUGCAAGUCGUACGAGAUUAAAAUCAAGUGGCGGACGGGUGAGUAACACGUAAGAAUUUGCCUUUAGGAGGGGGACAACAACUGGAAACGGUUGCUAAUACCCCAUAUGCUUUCGAGUGAAAUGGAUUUUUCCGCCUAGAGAGAAGCUUGCGUCUGAUUAGCUUGUUGGUGAGGUAAUGGCUCACCAAGGCGACGAUCAGUAUCUGGUUUGAGAGGACGAUCAGACACACUGGAACUGAGACACGGUCCAGACUCCUACGGGAGGCAGCAGUAGGGAAUUUUCCGCAAUGGGCGAAAGCCUGACGGAGCAAUCUCGCGUGAGGGAUGACGGCCUAUGGGUUGUAAACCUCUUUUUUCAGGGAGGAAUAAAUGACGUGUACCUGAAGAAUA
rnacentral:rRNA from 1 species